rnacentral:snRNA from 1 species
AUACUUACCUGGCAGGGGAGAUACCAUGAUCAUGAAGGUGGUUUUCCCAGGGCGAGGCUCACCCAUUGCACUCCGGGUGUGCUGACCCCUGCGAUUUCCCCAAAUGUGGGAAACUCGACUGCAUAAUUUGUGGUAGUGGGGGACUGCGUUCGCGCUUUCCCCUG